rnacentral:tRNA from 1 species
GGGGAGAUACUCAAGCGGCCAACGAGGACAGACUGUAAAUCUGUUGGUUUUUACCUUCGAAGGUUCGAAUCCUUCUCUCCCCACUA